GUUCUCCGCUACCGUUGCUAUGAGUUACAAGCUACUGUUUAUACAAAUAUAAACAUGAAAAUAUCAGACUCUGGCAGGAAAAGGAAAUGGUCCCCGAUUAUUUGCGGUCGUCAGCCAUUCCAACGACUCUCCGGUUACUGAUCGAUUAAUUGUACGAACGCUCCCUGAUUAUUUGCAGUUGCCUGCCUUUCCGGUCGCUAACCAUUCUGGUUGCUGCUCGAUCCACCGAUAGCUUCUUUCGGGUUGACUUUUGGCCGCACCCCUGCAAAACUCUAGUUUUGCAUUAGCCGAUGUGUGACCGCACUAUGGUUACUGCCCAUACCGGCCACUCCUUGAUGCCGCUUCAGAAACUCUCUGGCUUGACUACGCUCUACGACCGCGGCUCAUUCUCCGAUUAACGACAGUUCUUUUUCUUCCACAUAAUAAACCGCUAUUUAAGUUGA